GCUCUACCGUAUGAAUCAUAGAGCUGUCUAAGAUUUGGGUUUUGAAAGGCUCGCCGAAGAAGGGGCACACACGGACGUUCCAGCAAGCUUUAUUGGGGCGGCAGUCUGCAGCCUGCGGGGCUGACUCACAGAAUGGAGACCAGCAGCUUCAUGGGCUCAGCUGGAAGCUUAUGCAGGUGUCUUGCAGGAGACAUCUGGAAUUAAUGGACCCAUCAUUAUCCUGAGAGUUCUUUGUCUUCUUCAUAUUCAUGUUGACGUCGAACCACAAGCCAAGUAAAGAAUGAUAGUUUGAAGACAUCUGGAGUCACAUGCCUCUUGGGCUGCAGAAAUAAUGGAACCACUUAUGAGAUCUAUUGCAUCCUGGAUGGAGGAGACAUGUACAAGGUUCAGGUCAGCUGUGAGGCCUCAGUGGCCUUUGAGGACUGGCAUUUGAAGAUUUUCAAAUAAAAAAAGAACAUACAAAACAUCAUGAGGUGCCCUUAGACUGUAGCAGCUGUUUCUCUCUUUACAGUAAAGACAAGAGAGCAGACAAAGCAGUCUUUGCAGAAAGGACCAAAACAUUUUAUCAGAUCUUGAAUGUCCCUCAAAGGCUGAUAAGUUAAAGGCUUGGACACCUGCCUGUGCGCGAGAGAGGUGGUGGAAACUUCAGAACUGGCACUCAGUGGGAGAGAGGGAAAGAAGGCCCUGCCCCAUCGCUAAUGGAUGGUCCUAAGAGCCACACACACGACACCAUGAAGUCCUCACUGGCCACUGGAUGAAGGAAGACUGGCAGGAGGCAAAAGCCAGAAAAUAUCUUCGCAUGACCUGAAGAAGUGUUAUUCAGAUGGCAGUGCUGAGAAGGUGAGGUAGCUGCUUGGGACCUCCGCAGCGGGACGAUUCCACUCUGACACCGGAGAGGAGGCGCUGCUGUGCGCGGUGUUACAGCCAACAGAAACUGAGACGGGAAUUUCUGAUUUCUGGUCCAGCGUACUGAAACUGGCUGAGGUGUGGGCACGUAUGGA
rnacentral:lncRNA from 1 species